ACCCACCGGUUCCCUUUCCCAAUGGAUCUUGAUGCUGGUCUUGGUGGUCGUAAAGGAGGAAGAGCAGACGGAAGCUGGCCUCAUGGCAAUAGAGCAUUGGGUCAGAUUCAUACGUGC
ensembl:snoRNA